rnacentral:rRNA from 1 species
GACGAACGCUGGCGGCGUGCCUAACACAUGCAAGUCGAGCGGAGAUAUAUGGAAGGUUUACCGGAAAUAUAUCUUAGUGGCGGACGGGUGAGUAACGCGUGAGGAACCUGCCUUUCGGAGGGGAAUAACACAUCGAAAGAUGUGCUAAUACCGCAUAAUGUCAUCGGGUGGCAUCGCCUGAUGACCAAAAGAGCAAUCUGCCGAAAGAUGGCCUCGCGUCCGAUUAGAUAGUUGGUGAGGUAACGGCCCACCAAGUCUGCGAUCGGUAGCCGGACUGAGAGGUUGAACGGCCACAUUGGGACUGAGACACGGCCCAGACUCCUACGGGAGGCAGCAGUGGGGGAUAUUAGUCAAUGGAGGAAACUCUGAACUAGCGACGCCGCGUGAGGGAAGAAGGUCUUCGGAUUGUAAACCUCUGUCUUCGGGGACGAUAAUGACGGUACCCGAGGAGGAAGCUCCGGCUAACUACGUG